rnacentral:rRNA from 1 species
UGGGGAAUAUUGGACAAUGGGCGAAAGCCUGAUCCAGCCAUGCCGCGUGUGUGAAGAAGGUCUUCGGAUUGUAAAGCACUUUAAGUUGGGAGGAAGGGCAUUAACCUAAUACGUUAGUGUUUUGACGUUACCAACAGAAUAAGCACCGGCUAACUCUGUGCCAGCAGCCGCGGUAAUACAGAGGGUGCAAGCGUUAAUCGGAAUUACUGGGCGUAAAGCGCGCGUAGGUGGUUUGUUAAGUUGGAUGUGAAAUCCCCGGGCUCAACCUGGGAACUGCAUUCAAAACUGACUGACUAGAGUAUGGUAGAGGGUGGUGGAAUUUCCUGUGUAGCGGUGAAAUGCGUAGAUAUAGGAAGGAACACCAGUGGCGAAGGCGACCACCUGGACUAAUACUGACACUGAGGUGCGAAAGCGUGGGGAGCAAACA